GACGAACCGUCCAAACGUUAUUCGGAAUUACUGGGCUUAAAGGGUGCGUAGGCGGUGCAGCAAGUCGGGAGUGAAAUACCUCAGCUUAACUGAGGAACUGCUUUCGAUACUGCUGUGCUUGAGUGAGACAGAGGUAAGCGGAACUUAGGGUGGAGCGGUGAAAUGCGUUGAUAUCCUAAGGAACACCGGUGGCGAAGGCGGGCUUACUGGGUCUCUACUGACGCUGAGGCACGAAAAGCCAGGGUAGCAAACGGG
rnacentral:rRNA from 1 species